GGAUGUAGCUUAAUGGUAGAGCACUGGCCUAGCAUCCAUAGGCUCUGGGCUCAAACCCCAGCACCA
rnacentral:tRNA from 1 species